CACGUACUCCAUAAGUGGUAUCCGUUUUUAUUGGGCCUAAAACGUCCGUAGCUCGUUUGAAAAGUCUUUGGUGAAAGCAAGAAGCUUAACUUUUUGAAUGGCCAAAGAUACUAUUAGACUAGAGACCGGAAGAGGUUAGGGGAAUUUCAGGGGUAGCGGUGAAAUGCUAUAAUCCUUGAAAGACCACCAGUAGCGAAGGCGCCUAACCAGGACGGUUCUGACAGUGAGGGACGAAAGCUGGGGGAGCGACCAGGAUUAGAUACCCCAGUA
rnacentral:rRNA from 1 species